GGAUGCGAUCGUACCAGCACUAAAGCACCGGAUCCCAUCAGAACUCUGAAGUUAAGAGUGCUUGGGUGAGAGUAGUACUAGGAUGGUGACCUCCUGGGAAGUCCUCGUGUUGCAUUCC
rnacentral:rRNA from 1 species